rnacentral:misc_RNA from 1 species
GGGUGGGCAGGUAUAGUGGUUAACGGCUGCAUUAGGGAUGUCGAUGAGAUUAAUGGAUGUGAUAUUGGAGUUAGGGCUCUAGCUUCUCAUCCUAUGAAAGCCAAUAAGAAGGGGAUGGGGGAGAAACAUGUACCCAUAGCCAUUGAAGGGACAAGAAUCUGUGAUGGUGAAUGGCUUUAUGCAGACACGGAUGGGAUCCUUAUUUCUCGAACUGAGCUAUCUGUCUGAGUAAAGAUA